GAUGCCAUCAGAUGCAGAAUAUAAGUAAAGUUUGGCAGAAGUUCAAGGGGCCUGGAUUUUAAAUUUAUAAAGGCUCUGUAAAUUUCUUUGAAUACACUACGAAGAAUGAUUACACCUAACUCAAAAUCAUAAUUGAAGCGAUAAUAGAAUCUUCUCACCUACAGGAUGUUCUUCAGCUGUGCACAAGCUGCAUGCGUGUUCCAGUGUAGUGAAUUAUUUUAAUUGCUCUUGACAAAUUAAGAUGCACUCUCUCAUUGAGUCAGUUAGCUACAGCAGAUUGGCUGAAAAUGACAGACGACGUGAUAAUGAUAGCUAAGAGAUUAGGCAUAUGAGAAAGGUUCUUUAAAACAUACCCUGCAACUACUUUACGUCACAGCAGCCUUUCUUGUCACUGUGAGGUUUAUUAAUCAACACAGACACAAAGAAACAUCCUUCAUAAAUGAAAAGUGUGGAAGCUACCUGUUCCUCCAGAACUCUAUAGGACUGUUAACAGGCAAUCUCUGUGUCUCACACAUUUACUGUGGAGUUUUUCUCCAGAGCAAUCAAUACCUUGGUCUGCUUUCCAACUGCAAAAUAUUACAUGUAUCUUCAUACUUCGAAUCUGAGAGUAACACUAAGCUUCUGUGUGCAUGGUCUGUAGAUGUUCCAUCAACAACAAGAAGGCAAACAAGAAAAUCAUGACAGUUGUGUCCAACCACAAAUCUUUUGGAUAGAUGAAAUCUGUGCAAAAAGAAGGCUCUGAACAAAAAACAAAAACAAAAAACAAAGACAAAAAACAAAAUAAAAAUAAGUCACA
rnacentral:lncRNA from 1 species